rnacentral:rRNA from 1 species
CUAAUGUUGAAAAAUUAGCGGAUGACUUGUGGCUGGGGGUGAAAGGCCAAUCAAACCGGGAGAUAGCUGGUUCUCCCCGAAAGCUAUUUAGGUAGCGCCUCGUGAAUUCAUCUUCGGGGGUAGAGCACUGUUUCGGCUAGGGGGUCAUCCCGACUUACCAACCCGAUGCAAACUACGAAUACCGAAGAAUGUUAUCACGGGAGACACACGGCGGGUGCUAACGUCCGUCGUGAAGAGGGAAACAACCCAGACCGCCAGCUAAGGUCCCAAAGUCAUGGUUAAGUGGGAAACGAUGUGGGAAGGCACAGACAGCCAGGAUGUUGGCUUAGAAGCAGCCAUCAUUUAAAGAAAGCGUAAUAGCUCACUGGUCGAGUCGGCCUGCGCGGAAGAUGUAACGGGGCUAAACCAUGCACCGAAGCUGCGGCAGCGACACUAUGUGUUGUUGGGUAGGGGAGCGUUCUGUAAGCCUGCGAAGGUGACCUGUGAGGGUUGCUGGAGGUAUCAGAAGUGCGAAUGCUGACAUAAGUAACGAUAAAGCGGGUGAAAAGCCCGCUCGCCGGAAGACCA